rnacentral:rRNA from 1 species
CACGUAGGGCGCAAGCGUUUGUCCGGAAUUAUUGGGCGUAAAGAGCUCGUAGGCGGUCUGUUACGUCUGCUGUGAAAACCCUGGGCUUAACCCUGGGCUUGCAGUGGAUACGGGCAGACUAGAGGCAGGUAGGGGAGAAUGGAAUUCCCGGUGUAGCGGUGAAAUGCGCAGAUAUCGGGAGGAACACCGGUGGCGAAGGCGGCAUCCUGGACCGGCAUUGACGCUGAGGAGCGAAAGCCAGGGGAGCAAACGGG